GACGAACGCUGGCGGCGCGCUUAACACAUGCAAGUCGAGCGAGAUCCAGGCCUUCGGGCUUGGGGACAGCGGCGAACGGGUGAGUAACACGUGGGUAAUCAACCCUCGACACUGGGAUAGCCCGGGGAAACCCGGAUUAAUACCGGAUGGCCCUUUGGAUCCUCGGAUCUGAAGGAAAAGGUAGCUUCGGCCUCCGGUCGAGGACGAGCCCGCGGCGGAUUAGCUUGUUGGUGAGGUAACGGCUCACCAAGGCGACGAUCCGUAGCUGGUCUGAGAGGACGCUCAGCCACACUGGGACGGAGACACGGCCCAGACUCCUACGGGAGGCAGCAGUGGGGAAUCUUGCGCUAAUGCGGGAAACCGUGACGCAGCGACGCCGCGUGAGGGAAGAAGGCCUUCGGGUUGUAAACCUCUUUCAGGAGGGACGAAGCCACUCGGGUGAAUAGCCCAGAGGGUGACGGUACCUCCAGAAGAAGCCCCGGCUAACUACGUGCCAGCCGCCGCGGUAAGAC
rnacentral:rRNA from 1 species